rnacentral:snoRNA from 1 species
UACUAUGAUGAACAAGGGCUAUACGCCCGAUAUAAUCCCAGCUCGUCGAAUGUCCUCGUUUAUAAUCUCACGUUGAGGACAUCUUGAGAUGAAAUCCAACCCUGACAC